rnacentral:rRNA from 1 species
UACGUAGGGUCCGAGCGUUGUCCGGAAUUAUUGGGCGUAAAGAGCUCGUAGGCGGUUUGUCGCGUCUGCUGUGAAAUCCCGAGGCUCAACCUCGGGUCUGCAGUGGGUACGGGCAGACUGGAGUGCGGUAGGGGAGAAUGGAAUUCCUGGUGUAGCGGUGGAAUGCGUAGAUAUCAAGAGGAACACCUGCGGCGAAGGCGGGUUGCUGGGCCGACACUGACGCUGAGGCGCGAAAGCUAGGGGAGCGAACGGG